rfam:Caldisalinibacter kiritimatiensis strain L21-TH-D2 NODE_51, whole genome shotgun sequence.
GUGUAUGACAAUCAUUGGAGAAAUCCAUUUAGUAGAUAUGGUUACUUGAUGGAUACCGAAGAAGCAAGAAACAGAUUUAGCUCCGAAUCUGUUUCGAAACUUUCAGGUAAAGGUACAAUGAUUGGACACAACCCUGGAGAGACCCUACAUAAUUAUUAGGGCAUCGAAGAAGUAAUCUACUUAUGAAUAGUAAGUGGAGAAACUUUCAGAUAAAAGGACAGGGCA